GGCUGGUCUGAGUGCAGUGGUGUUUACAACUAAUUGAUCACAACCAGUUACAGAUUUCUUUGUUCCUUCUCCACUCCCGCGGCUUCACUUCACUAGCCCUAA
ensembl:Y_RNA Y_RNA Y RNA